AGGGCACCACCAGGAGUGGAGCCUGCGGCUUAAUUUGGCUCAACACGGGAAAACUCACCCGGCCCGGACACCGUAAGGAUUGACAGAUUGAGAGCUCUUUCUUGAUUCGGUGGUUGGUGGUGCAUGGCCGUUCUUAGUUGGUGGAGCGAUUUGUCUGGUUUAUUCCGAUAACGAACGAGACUCUGGCCUACUAAAUAGAGACAGGAUUAUUACUGUCUUGGAUUCUUCUUAGAGGGACAAGUGGUUUUCAGCCACACGAAAUUGAGCAAUAACAGGUCUGUGAUGCCCUUUGAUGUCCGGGGCUGCACGCGCGCUACACUGAAGGAAUCAGCGUGUAUCUUCGACCUGGUCCGAAAGGAUCGGGUAACCCGUUGAAACUCCUUCGUGCUUGGGAUAGGGAAUUGGAAUUAUUUCCCUUGAACGAGGAAUUCCCAGUAAGUGCGGGUCAUAAGCUCGCGUUGAUUACGUCCCUGCCCUUUGUACACACCGCCCGUCGCUACUACCGACUGGACGAUUUCA
rnacentral:rRNA from 1 species